CAGUAUAUGGCUGCUUGAGCUUUUCCUCUGCACACAUGUGGUCAAGAGAUCUUCCCACUAGACAAUGGGCCCCUUGCAGGGGAUGAACUCUGUGGAAUAUCAAACAUCUGAACGAGAAGUGAAAAUUUCAUCAACCAUAGCUCCAGCUCUCAGAGGUAUCCAAGGAGUCAGACAAUAACUUUCAUUAAGAAACAGUGUAGGGCUUCCCUGGUGGCGCAGUGGUUGAGACUCUGCC